AAGCUGAGUCAUGAUGUAUAAGUCCAGGUACACGACAAUAUAAUUCAAACUGUAAAGAUGUAACUUUGCAGUUAUAUGCAAACGGAACUAUGUUUAUCUGUAUUUCAGUAGUUUAAAAGUCUCUCAUUGUAGGAUAUAUGCAUUGUCCUUUCAAAGUAUCCGCUCCUAGAAGGCAGUGUUGAGUAAUUUGUUGUGGUAAUUUGUUGUGACAAUUCGCCAACUCAUCAAUAUUAACACAUUCAAUUUUUUUUUUUUUUUUUUUUUUUUUUUUUUUUUUUUUUUUUUUUUAGCUAGAUGGGUGAUAUGGCAACUCAGGAUUCUACCUGAAUCAGCAUAGUAAAGUAUUUGGUGUGCUGGGGUAGUUUUUGAACCCAUUCUGCUUUUCUUUCCUUUUCCUGACACUUACCUCUUGCAAUCCAAGCGAAGAGAGAAGACUGGCUGCUGUUUCUCUGCCCCUUUUCCCUGCAGAUCUGUCCCAACUACUCCAUCCCAACACUCCCAUCUGUCCCACGUCAAGAGGCUGGUUUAGAGGAGUUUAUGUGAGGAUGAUCUCUUCUUUGCCCCCUCUGCCUUUUCUUUCCAUUUUUUUUAGGGGAGCCCUGUACUUGGUACUUUUUCUUUGGCUUUUCACUUCUCCCAAAAUAGUUAUAUCUACUUUAGUUACUUGUCAUAAGUACAGACACAUCUUCUGUAAUCUCCAUCCUCUUUCCCCACUUCCUUCCAAUUCUUGCCCAUUUGCUUCAAGAAGGGCUCUCUUCCUUAACAUGCUCUCUUCCUAUUUCCUUGCUCCUUUCAUGAAAAAGCCAACAUCUUGGCUGACAAGUCACACACCUUUGUCAAGGAAACAAACAAAAUCCUCCAUCCACCCUCAUGAUGGAGGGUACUCCAGCUGCUGGGUCCUUUGGCUGCAGUGUAGACCUAGAGGAAGAGAGAAGCCCAGAGACUGAGCUGGGAGAGUGGGCACAGACUUGACAUUCAUCUCAGCAAACAGGGUGGAGAAGGGUAAAGCCAAAGCUGGGACUGUGAGGAACAGGGUGGCCAAGAAUGCAGUGUGCAGUGGAAGACGGUUUGAAUACAUUCCAGAGAUGGGGAGCAGAGCACUUUAACCUACUCUCCACCCUGGCUUGUGUUGUUAACAGACAAUUAUUAAUGGCCAGGAAUGAGUGGACCGUAGCCAGUGUGGCUGACACCUAAAACAGUGUUACAGAUCAGUUAACUAUACAAGUCCUGCACAGUGGAUGCUGGGAGAAAAGGGAAGGAGUGGGAAGAGAAGAUAGAGUUGCGGAGUUUUAACCACUGUUGCCA
rnacentral:lncRNA from 10 species